UACGUAGGGUGCAAGCGUUAAUCGGAAUUACUGGGCGUAAAGCGUGCGCAGGCGGUUAUGUAAGACAGGUGUGAAAUCCCCGGGCUUAACCUGGGAACUGCAUUUGUGACUGCAUAGCUAGAGUACGGCAGAGGGGGAUGGAAUUCCGCGUGUAGCAGUGAAAUGCGUAGAUAUGCGGGAGGAACACCCGAUGGCGAAGGCAGCCCCCUGGGUCAAGAUUGACGCUCAUGCACGAAAGCGUGGGGAGCAAACAGG
rnacentral:rRNA from 1 species